UACGUAGGGCGCAAGCGUUGUCCGGAAUUAUUGGGCGUAAAGAGCUCGUAGGCGGCUUGUCACGUCGGGUGUGAAAGCCCGGGGCUUAACCCCGGGUCUGCAUUCGAUACGGGCAGGCUAGAGUGUGGUAGGGGAGAUCGGAAUUCCUGGUGUAGCGGUGAAAAUGCGCAGAUAUCAGGAGGAACACCGGUGGCGAAGGCGGAUCUCUGGGCCAUUACUGACGCUGAGGAGCGAAAGCGUGGGGAGCGAACAGG
rnacentral:rRNA from 1 species